AGAGUUUGAUCAUGGCUCAGAACGAACGCUGGCGGCGUGGAUAAGACAUGCAAGUCGAACGGAUUAUCCAGUGUAGCAAUACAUUGGGUAGUUAGUGGCGUAAGGGUGCGUAACACGUGGGCAACCUGCCCGGAAGAGUGGGAUAGCUCGCCGAAAGGCGAAUUAAUACCGCAUGAGGCUAGGAGGGGAAUCCCUCUGAGGCCAAAGUUGGUGAAAGCUAACGCUUCUGGAUGGGCCCGCGGCCUAUCAGCUAGUUGGUUGAGGUAACGGCUCACCAAGGCUAUGGCGGGUAGCUGGUCUGAGAGGACGACCAGCCACACUGGAACUGAGACAUGGUCCAGACACCUACGGGUGGCAGCAGUCGAGAAUUUUUCACAAUGGGCGCAAGCCUGAUGGAGCGACGCCGCGUGGGGGAUGAAUGGCUUCGGCCCGUAAACCCCUGUCAUUUGCGAACAAACCUUGCUAUUUAAAAGAUGGCGAGCUGAUUGUAGCGAAAGAGGAAGGGACGGCUAACUCUGUGCCAGCAGCCGCGGUAAUAC
rnacentral:rRNA from 1 species